rnacentral:rRNA from 1 species
GAUGAACGCUAGCUACAGGCUUAACACAUGCAAGUCGAGGGGAAACGACAUCGAAAGCUUGCUUUUGAUGGGCGUCGACCGGCGCACGGGUGAGUAACGCGUAUCCAACCUGCCCAUCACUUGGGAAUAACCUUGCGAAAGUAAGACUAAUACCCAAUGACAUCCCACGAAGACAUCUGAAUGGGAUUAAAGAUUUAUCGGUGAUGGAUGGGGAUGCGUCUGAUUAGCUUGUUGGCGGGGUAACGGCCCACCAAGGCAACGAUCAGUAGGGGUUCUGAGAGGAAGGUCCCCCACAUUGGAACUGAGACACGGUCCAAACUCCUACGGGAGGCAGCAGUGAGGAAGAUUGGUCAAUGGGCGAGAGCCUGAACCAGCCAAGUAGCGUGCAGGAUGACGGCCCUAUGGGUUGUAAACUGCUUUUAUAAGGGAAUAAAGUGGGUCUCGUGAGACUUUUUGCAUGUACCUUAUGAAUAAGGACCGGCUAAUUCCGU